rnacentral:rRNA from 1 species
GACGGUACCCUUAAGGAAGCACCGGCUAACUCCGUGCCAGCAGCCGCGGUAAUACGGAGGGUGCAAGCGUUGUUCGGAAUCACUGGGCGUAAAGGGCGCGUAGGCGGUUUGAUAAGUCAGAUGUGAAAGCCCACGGCUUAACUGUGGAAGUGCAUUUGAAACUGUCAGACUUGAGUAUCAGAGGGGAAAGUGGAAUUCCCGGUGUAGAGGUGAAAUUCGUAGAUAUCGGGAGGAAUACCGGUGGCGAAGGCGACUUUCUGGCUGAAUACUGACGCUGAGGCGCGAAAGCGUGGGGAGCAAACAGGAUUAGAUACCCUGGUAGUCCACGCUGUAAACGAUGUCAACUAGAUGUAGGGGGUGUUGAUCCCCUCUGUGUCGCAGCUAACGCAUUAAGUUGACCGCCUGGGGAGUACGGUCGCAAGAUUAAAACUCAAAGGAAUUGACGGGGGG